rnacentral:rRNA from 1 species
UACAGAGGUCUCAAGCGUUGUUCGGAUUCAUUGGGCGUAAAGGGUGCGUAGGCGGGUCUUUAAGUCAGGGGUGAAAUCCUGGAGCUCAACUCCAGAACUGCCUUUGAUACUGAAGAUCUUGAGUUCGGGAGAGGUGAGUGGAACUGCGAGUGUAGAGGUGAAAUUCGUAGAUAUUCGCAAGAACACCAGUGGCGAAGGCGGCUCACUGGCCCGAUACUGACGCUGAGGCGCGAAAGCGUGGGGAGCGAACAGG